UACGGGGGGGGCAAGCGUUGUUCGGAUUUACUGGGCGUAAAGGGCUCGUAGGCGGCCAACUAAGUCGGAUGUGAAAUCCCCAGGCUUAACCUGGGAACUGCAUCCGAUACUGGAUGGCUUGAAUCCGGGAGAGGGAUGCGGAAUUCCAGGUGUAGCGGUGAAAUGCGUAGAUAUCUGGAGGAACACCGGUGGCGAAGGCGGCAUCCUGGACCGGCAUUGACGCUGAGGAGCGAAAGCCAGGGGAGCAAACGGG
rnacentral:rRNA from 1 species